UGGUGGUGUUGGGAGCCUCCAAUUAAGUCGUGGAGAUUGCCCCAACCUUGUUUAUAAAGGUUCGGUGGCCGCCUUCAAGGGCACCACUAGUGGGAUCAUGACAUCUUGCAUUGUGCGAGUGCGUGAGGAGAAUACGAUGGCCCUGGUGGCUUUUUGGGGAGCAUUGUGCCUCCACACCUCUCUAAUGGAGUUGUAACUCCCUUGAAAGGAGGGGUCUUUGCUAACACAUCCUCGUCUCCAUCGACUCCAUUUGUGGUCACUUCUUACCUUUACUUUGUGCAAGCUUUGUUGUGUUUGUAUCCUUUGCUUGCUAUUGUUGGCAUA
rnacentral:lncRNA from 1 species